rnacentral:rRNA from 1 species
UACGUAGGGGGCUAGCGUUGUCCGGAAUCAUUGGGCGUAAAGAGCGUGUAGGCGGCCCGGUAAGUCCGCUGUAAAAGUCAAAGGCUCAACCUUUGAAUGUCAGUGGAUACUGUCGGGCUAGAGUCCGGAAGAGGCGAGUGGAACUCCUGGUGUAGCGGUGGAAUGCGCAGAUAUCAGGAAGAACACCGACGGCGAAGGCAGCUCGCUGGGACGGUACUGACGCUGAGACGCGAAAGCGUGGGGAGCGAACAGG